AGGACUCAGCCUGUCUGCUUCAGAGAAUUAUUUUGCUACCACGAGACCUCAGCUUUACUAAAUAUGCUGCUUGUAUUGUCUGGAGGAGGAUUUCGAACAUUUGGUCUCUGCUUCUCUGAACUCCUUUUGGUUGCCCAAAUGGUCACCUAUCCAUAGCAGGGCCGUAAUGGUUACCGAGGAAGAUAAAUGCUUUAGAAGUGUGAUCAGCAUUGGGUUUAAGAAGGAACUGCAGAUGCUGGAAAAUCGAAGGGAGUUAUGAAGCUGGACUGCAAGAUCCCGUCUUCCCCAGCCUCGUCGUGUACCUGGAGCAUCUCAACCAUGGAACCAUUGUCACUAACCUGUGCACCCACUCCCACCCCAAGAUGGCCACCAGAAAGUCUAAGAACCAGAACUGAUUACAGUACUCAAACAAAAAUUGUGUGACCAUUUUAAGUUGUAAUAAAGGCUCGAGCUGCGCUUUAGUAUUUAAAAAGCUUGAUGCUCAUUUUCAUAUCUCUCUAAAUAUUCAACAAUUUGAGGAAUUGAAAAGAUUAUACCUUUUUAAGGUGCCUCAGUGUUUACUUCUUACACUGGGAUUAAAUUGAAACCCAUAUCAUGAAAAUGAAAGGUAAUUUCAUCCAUAGCAAUGCACUCCCUCAAACUCCAACAUUAAAAAAAGUUGGGCACCAAAACAUUUAAUGCUAAAGUUAUUUUAAAGUCAAUGGGAAUGGCUCAGGAUCACACAAAUAAAUGGUGUCGUAGCAUCAUAACUGAUGGCCAAAAAAGAUGUAGAAACUCUGCAUUGUAAUGCGAGUUCACUGUAAAGAACCAUAUUCCCAAGAUGGGACAAGGUGAACAUAGGUCACAUAUAAGUCUCUCAUAGGUCUCCAGUCAUUUGUAUC